UGGCUUAGAGGUUAAAGCGUCUGCCUGGAAUGCAGGAGACCCCGGUUCGAUCCCUGG
rfam:TPA: Bos taurus chromosome 20, whole genome shotgun sequence.